AGUGAUCCUCCCACCUUAGCCCCCUGAGUAGCUGGACCAGAGGAUUUCAACUGGCAGAACAACACAAACGACUGAGCAUCAGAGACGACUGAUGGACACGGCUAACUUCAGAUGGUGUGGCUUCAGGGGAAGAACACCUUCUUCCCACACCAUCCCCUUUCCAAUUCCCAUCCUGCUGACAGCCACUUCCAUCACCCAGUAAAAUCCUCCACAUAUGCUACCCUUCAAUCUGA